rnacentral:rRNA from 1 species
GACGAACGCUGGCGGCGUGCCUAAUACAUGCAAGUCGAGCGAAGUUUUUCUGGUGCUUGCACUAGAAAAACUUAGCGGCGAACGGGUGAGUAACACGUAAAGAACCUGCCUCAUAGACUGGGACAACUAUUGGAAACGAUAGCUAAUACCGGAUAACAGCAUUAACUGCAUGGUUGAUGUUUAAAAGUUGGUUUUGCUAACACUAUGAGAUGGCUUUGCGGUGCAUUAGCUAGUUGGUGGGGUAAAGGCCUACCAAGGCGACGAUGCAUAGCCGACCUGAGAGGGUGAUUGGCCACACUGGAACUGAGACACGGCCCAGACUCCUACGGGAGGCAGCAGUAGGGAAUCUUCCGCAAUGGGCGAAAGCCUGACGGAGCAACGCCGCGUGAGUGAAGAAGGAUUUCGGUUCGUAAAGCUCUGUUGUUAGGGAAGAAUGAUUGUGUAGUAACUAUACACAGUAGAGACGGUACCUAACCAGAAAGCCACGGCUAACUACGUG